rnacentral:rRNA from 1 species
UACGGGGGGGGUAAGCGUUGUUCGGAAUUACUGGGCGUAAAGGCUCGUAGGCGGCCAACUAAGUCAUACGUGAAAUCCCUCCAGCUUAACUGGGGGAACUGCGUGUGAUACUGGAUGGCUUGGAUUUGGGAGAGGGAUGCGGAAUUCCAGGUGUAGCGGUGAAAUGCGUAGAUAUCGGAGGAACACCGGUGGCGAAGGCGGCAUCCUGGACCAAUAUUGACGCUGAGGAGCGAAAGCCAGGGGAGCAAACGGGG